GCUCGUGUGGCGUAACGGUAGCGCGUGAGAUUGCAAUUCUUUAAUUACAAACAUCUUUAGGUUCCCGGUUCGAAUCCGGGCACGAGCU
rfam:Sugiyamaella lignohabitans strain CBS 10342 chromosome B, complete sequence.